AUCUUUCUAGUACAAAGUCAGUAUAGAUGGCUUCCACCCAUUCGAUCUUGGUUAAAAUCCAAGGAAAGAUA
rnacentral:tRNA from 1 species